AGAAAGAAGGAGAGAAAGAAAAACAAAACAAAGAAAAGGGGAAGGGAGUUCCUUCCUCCUCUUCCUCUUCCUCCUUUCUUUCUUCUCUCUCCUCGUUCCUUUC
rnacentral:ribozyme from 1 species